UUCUUCUCACAUAAGCUUUCUUCCAAACCGCGUGUUUGUAUUCUCAAUUAUCAAUUAGGAAAUCCCAAUCUGUUUUCAAUCAUUCUCCAAAAUUAUGAAUUUGUUUCCUUUAUCGAUUAUAAACCCUAGAUGUAUAAGCAGAUUCUUCAAUCGUGAAUAACAUAGCGUCUUCAUCUGUUACUUUUUGAUUGUGUAAAACCCUCGAAAACCUGUGAACUCUUCAGAUCUUGAAUCCCAUUAUCAUCGAUUAGUCUCAACCAGAUUUCUUUUGUGAUUCCUUUGUUCUUCAUCUAUUUUUUCUAUGAAUCUGUUACAAACCCUAAGUUUUUUUGUAUGAAUUUUGGUACAGAAUAUGAUGCGUACAAUUGAGGGAUUCAAGCGCUGCAAAGCAGGAUAUAAAUUUAUUUAAUGUUUUCCACUUUAUCUAGAGCAUACAAUUGGGGGAUUUAAGCACAACAAAGCAGGAGUUGAAUAUAUGUAAGUUUUUAGGGCUUUGAUUUUUGUUAUUGCGGUGCAGGUACGUUUCAUCGUCAGUUUUUCAAAUGGGUUACGUGUCUAAUUUUCGAAGGUUAAACGAGAAUUGAGUCAGUUAGAAACCCUAGAUUGAUAACCAGAUUCUUCACACUGCUUCUCAAAACCCUUAUUUUGAUUCAACGUCGUUGUCCUCUCCAACAAUCCCUUCAAUAGCGACUACAUGAGAGGAUCUCUGAUUCCAGUCUAAUCUUCCAGGUGAUAAUAGGCUUUUGUUUCAACAGAAUCCGUCAUAUCUUCUAAUCAUUUGUGUACUUUAAUCAGUUAAUCUGAUGUUCUGUGUAUAUGUUUGCUUUGAUUUAUGUAUAUUCAUGUUAUUAUUUAGAUCUUCGACUCAAAUUGUUGUGUUUUUGUAAUUAUCAUAAGCCCUAAUUAUUUAGGGAAAUAGUGUUAUUCAUUUCAAAAAUUAUAUCAACUACAGCUGGAGGCAAUAGACAACAUAAGUACGAUUGGUGAAUGAGUUGCCAGAGUUAUCCGAGGCAGACAUGAUUGUCUUUUUAGGCAAAAUAUAGUGAUUUGCAAUAUAUAGUGAUUUGCAAUAGACAAAAUAGGUACGAUCGGUGAAUGAGUUGCCAGAGUUAUCUGAGGCAGACAUGAUUGUCUUUUUAGGCAAAAUAUAGUGAUUUGUAAUAUAUAGUGAUUUGCAAUAGACAAAAUAAGUACGAUCGGUGAAUGAGUUGCCAAAGUUAUCCGAGGCAGACAUGAUUGUCUUUUUAGGCGACUUCAAUUAUCGGCUUGAUGGCAUUUCUUAUGAUGAAGCACGGGAUUUUAUAUUUCAAAGAAGUUUCGAUUGGCUUAGAGAGAAAGAUGAGCUUCAUAUCGAAAUAAAAGCUGGAACUGUAUUUCAAGGAAUGCGUGAAGUCGUUAUUACGUUCCCACCCACUUACAAGUUUGAACGACAUCAACCUGGUUUAGCAGGGUACGAUUCUGGAGAGAAAAAGCGGAUUCCUGCAUGGUGUGACCGAGUCUUGUAUCGUGACAACCGUCCAGAUUCAUCAGGUAUAUGCAGUUUAAACUGUCCUGUAGUUUCUUCAGUUUUGCAGUUAGUGAUUUACUUAAUCUUGGGUGAAUAGUAAUUAUAAAUAUGUAUUCAUCUUUAUAUUCAUUUGUUUACUGAAAAAGUUAGGCAGAGAUCUAGAUUAUAAUUGUCAUAAUAAUAUUGUGAUUAAAAAAAUGAACAAAGGGCUAACCCAAUAUUUCUCUAAUUAACAUGUUCAUUUGGUUUUGAUACAUUAUUCUAAUUAACAUGUCAGGGAAGUUACUCUGACAAUAUUUCCCAUUUAUUUUGAUUUCUGGUAAAAGGAGAGAGGAAGAGAAGAAUAAUGGUUACUUGCAGUUGGGUCCACCAUAUAAUGAUAAUAUUGAUGUAUCAUUAGAAUUGACAGACCAGUUAUAUGCGUAGGAUGGUGCUGAAAUGGUAGAAAAAUGGUGGUUCUAUAAUUCAGAAGCUUCUUACAGAGAAGAGAGAUGUUACACGACUUUUGAUAGUUUGAAAGUUAAAGCAAACAACUGGACGCAAAAAAACACUUGGUUAAUAGCAAAAAGAUAUUGCCUAUAGCAUUGAAGUAUCCUGUUGGACUGAAAAAUUUAUUAUGCCCCACUCCUCCUUUCAAGAUGCCAAGUAGAAUUCAUUUUUUCUAUUUCUUUAACAGAAUACCCAAAGUGAAAUUAGUGAUGUGAAUGGUAAGACACUUUAGAUUUUAACUUUCUUUGUUCAAGACUAUUAUAUUUUCAUUACUUAUUUUAUUAAGAUGAAUAUUGUAAUUUGGUUUUGAGUUUAUAUUGUAGGAAGGUGAAUGAGAAGUAGGAAAACUCGAUGCGACUGGGCACCAAAUGGUGUUGGAUGGUAACAAACAAAGGGUAAAUACUAAUGGUGUUGUAGCAGCUUUAAUUAAAGGGAGAUUCUCAUUAAUUCAAUAUUUGAAGUUGACUUUUCUCAAAUCGGCAAUUAAGUGAUCAUCCUACGCAUUUUUUUCGCAUAGAUCUUUACUCACGUAGUUUGAUCAGCAUCAUAAUGACUUCAGUCUAGCAUAUUAUAGUGUAACCAAAAGACAAGUUGUUGACUUUCUUUAGUUCCAAUUCAGACUCAUGCAUAAAAUUAUGUAAUCAUGAGAGUUGUAAUUCUAUGGAAACAAAUACUAUAAACAAUAUUUAAUAUAUGAUUUAGGUACUGAUAAGUCUUCCUGUAGGUGAUUACUUAGCUUCUGAAGUUGGAUACUUUACUUGAUGAUAGCGUGGGCCAAAAUGUCGAGUUGGAGUUUGAAAGGAGUGGCACGUCUUUGACCGUUCAGUUGGUGAUGAGUGACAGACUUCUUACAUCCAUGUUAUAUGCUUUACAGAGAUUUAUCAUGUGUUCUUUGUUUUAGGCUGAAGACUUGCACUCCAUAACUCUAAACUACUUUUCGGAGUUAGUGGUGGAGUUAUACACGCACUCUCGAAUCAACAAGCUCAGAAUUUUUGUUUUCAUUAUAGUCUUGUGCAUAUAUCAGAACCUGGGUAACUUCUUUGAUAAAAUUGUUUUUAUCCCAUUAAUAUAACACUUUGGUUUGACCCUCAAUGCCUAAAUGCAUGGGAAAAUAACAAGGUUGACUAUUAGUACACUUCUAGAAAUAACACAUUCAACCAUUAGAAUUGGUAUGUACUAUCUAUAGUUACAUGCUAAAUAAAGCCAGGGUCCCACGCCAUGCCAUUACUAAGAGCUUAGCCGAUAAAAAUGUUCUAUCCAAGGUCUCUAGAAGAGCUCAGGUUCCAUUCGUAUACAUAAAUGACAAGAAUCUCCAUAGUAGGAAGGUAUACCAAUACUAAUCUUUGUAUAAUAUCCAUUUAAAAAAACUAUUGUUAACAACCCGUUUGCAACUUUCAAGAUAAAGUCAGCUUAUUUACCGCGUUAUAGAGCAACCAAUAUGGAAGUUAUAGAGCUUGAUAUUGAUAUUUCUACAUACUAUAUUAUCAUGUCACAUAAUAGUAUUUUUAUAAUGCUUUGAAAGUUUGAAUUUUGAAUUAGGUGUCCAUAUUAUAUGGUGUUAAUAGGUCUAGACAUGUACCUUUUCAGGCUGGGUUUAAACGGGUCAGGCCCUCGGGCACUUUGGCCAGGUCAAAUUAACUUGGUUUUUUUUUUAAUCUUUUAGGUUUACAAGCUAUUGAUAUAUACAUAUUAUGUGAUGGCAGAAACUAUUAUUUUAAAGUUACAUAAUUUGGUCUCUUUUUACAGAAUGGACUAAAGUAGGGAUGAGCUCGGUACCAAUCGCUAUCGAACCGGUACCGGAAAUCCUCAAAAGUGGGCACCGGUACCGAAUAUACCUGAUAUGAUACGGUUCGAUCCCGGUAUCAAAAAUAUCAAAAAGUCAUUCGGUACUCAAAAAUGUACCCAGUUCGGUAAAUUCGGUACCGGUUCCCGGUACCAUUUGCUCAUCCCUAGACUAAAGUCUUGUGAAUUGUGAAGCCAUGUCUCUUUGUUUCUAUAUAUUUAUUUUAUUACAGCACAACACAUGUGAAAGUAUAAAUGUGUGUAGAAAGUAAUUAUAGAUUGUAUGUGAGUGCACAAUCAUGUCACAUCAAAGUAUUAGUAUAAUGCUUUGAAUAACCUUACAUAUAUAUGGAUUGUUAAUUCCUAUAACUGCAGCCAGGGCAAGGAUGGAGUUGUUAGGUACUGUGAUAUUCAACAUGGGGAGUUGUCAAGGGUCGACCCACGCAGCGAAGUAAGGACUUGAAGAAUGAUCAAACCGAAAAACAAUUUAUGUACACCCGCGGAACAUGAAGGAACGGCUGGAAGCCGCACAUAAAGAAGCCAUACCAGGUUACCAAAUCAAACGCAUAGUAAACAACCUUUUGUACGAGUUAUCUAACUAACAUGCUAGAUGUUAGUAACAUAAGAUGUGUCCGACUUUAGUGAUAUAUGAAACUAAUGCUCGCCGCCAUCUAAUUCUAGCGGUGACUAUGGCAUGUAGGUGUAGCAAACACUUUGGUUUUACAAACACGGCGGGUGAUAAAUCUAACUUUUUUUUUAUAUUCUUACAUAUAGUUGUCUUUUUUUUCCUGUUUAUUAGAUAUGUGGGGGGUAGAAUCCCAUUUAUUGAGUUUCUUACUAUAAAAUGGGUUAUUAUGCAGUUGUUGCCAUCUUCAUAUGUGAAUCAUUAUUUUUCUAACAAUCUUCCAAAUCAGCCAAUGACCGUUUGAUUUGUGCAAGUGAGGUUCAUCAGUGGAGUGUCAGAAUGAAGAAAAAAGGGAGUUUUUACUACUUCAGUGAAGGAGUGAAGGAUGGACAUAUGUUUCACAAGAUAUGUUUUUAAUUAGUGGAGUGUCAGAAUGAAGAAAAAAAAUGGAGUUUUUUACUAACUAUAAACAAAUACACCGACUCCAGUUAUUCCGUUAUGCGCCUUUAUAGUUUUGAGAGAUUUGAUGGAACUGUGCAGUUAUUCUUUUAGAUCUUUUUUAUUUUUUAGAUUUUUUUAUUUUUAGAAUUCUUUUAGAUUUUUUAGAUCUUUAGAAUUUUUUUAUGUUUUUAGAUUUUUUGAAUUUUUUUGAUUGUACAUUUGAUCAAAAUAUAUUUAUUCCUUAUUAGAUUACUUAGUAAUUAUUUGAUGGACGUAAUUAUCCUUAUUAUCUAA